AUACCUUUCUCGGCCUUUUGGCUAAGAUCAAGUGUAGUAUCUGUUCUUAUCAGUUUAAUAUCUGAUAUGUGAGUCAUGAUAUUAACUCGGUUUUUUAGGGAGAAAGUCCACUAGGGUUGUUUGCUACCUGGGCUCAGAGAAGGGAUUUAGUUAUUUUUUUUUUAAUUCUUCUCUUUCCUUAU
rnacentral:snRNA from 1 species